rnacentral:tRNA from 1 species
CCAUGGCAGCACCAGUGGUAGAAUAGUACCCUGCCACGGUAUAGACCCGGGUUCGAUUCCCGGCUGGUGAA